AACCCAUGAACCACGAGCUCAUGACAUGAGCCAAAGUCAGACACUCAACCAACUGAGCCACCCAGGCACCCCUUGAUGUGCUUUUUACUUCAACUAAGAAUAAAUAUGGUGAUGUCUGUUGUCUAAUUGAUUUGUUAACUCUUGAAAUUCAUCUUUCUCUUCCCUGUUCAGAGCCUAAGUGACAAUGUGGAGGGAGUUACCAUCUCAAGAUAAGACAUCAGGAGGAGGAACACAUCACCAGAAAGAAUGAAACAAGUUAUGAUAUGAGCCUGAGGUUUGGACGACCUAUGUAUGUACCUUAAUAACUGGAGGAGAGAAAUUUUACAGAGAAUAACUGAGAAGAUCAAUACUUUUAAGAAAGAAAACAGAGAACUUUACUUCCUGAAGAACUAUCCAUUUGGGAACAGAAGUACCAAUUCAAGACAAGCUUCACAAAUGUAAAGAGCUACCUCUUUAUUUGUGAAAGGAGUCACACAUUAGAAGAAAAUAAAAAGGCCCUGGAAGACAAGUGUAAUGCAUUGAGGACUGUGAAAGCAACAAAGGAAGCAAAAGUCAAACAGCUGAAGGAGAAAGCAUAUCACCUAGAAGAAUUCUAUGAACAAAGAAAAGUGGCUACAGAAGAGUAAGAUAUUCAUGUGAGAACUGUCACAAGUACUGCAUUGUAAGAAAGAAUGUGGCAGCCAAUAGAGAUAAUUAUAUUUCUUUUGGAACUGGAUCCAGAGUAUUUUGCCAAAUGCAUUCAGUGGAAUUGUGCCUGCCCUUCCUACCUUGCUUUCUGUAACCUGCAUUUUCCUUUCUGCCCUAAGUGCUUGUCACACAUUGUGUCAUGAAUUUGGGGCCAAAGAGGGAAUGUACCAGCAGUAACGCUGAUACCUGGGUCCACUGUAGAUACACCUACAUUGUCCUAUAGGUUUCAAGCCCAUCACACUGUUUUGUCAUCCAGCA